UUGCAACAAAAGAGACGCCGACUGGCUCGUGUUGUCCGGUUUGGAUAUCAGAGGCAAAGCGAACGUUGUGUGUACUAUUGCAAAAUAUAUAGCGGAUCUCCACGGUUAGGAUACAGACCACAACGCUUUGGACGUAUCUUUAAAAAAGAUUAAAAUCAGAGACUUUUUGGAUUUGUCUGGGGACAUUUUAAACAUUUUGUGGCAAAUUGGAUUUAAAACAUUUCGGAUACUGGAUACCUAGUUUGAUUUGUCCACAGAGCUUGUUUAAGACGUUUUCACCGCAUUUUAGGGUUUAUUUUUAAUUAAAGGCUUCUUAAAACAUGUGUGAAAAUGUGUAUAUUAUACAAUGAGUCUUAUAUUGUCUGCUCUGACAAAAAUAAAUUAUUAUUUUAGAUUUUA